GACGAACGCUGGCGGCGCGCCUAACACAUGCAAGUCGAACGAGCGAGAGAGAGCUUGCUUUCUCAAGCGAGUGGCGAACGGGUGAGUAACGCGUGAGGAACCUGCCUCAAAGAGGGGGACAACAGUUGGAAACGACUGCUAAUACCGCAUAAGCCCACAGCUCGGCAUCGAGCAGAGGGAAAAGGAGCAAUCCGCUUUGAGAUGGCCUCGCGUCCGAUUAGCUAGUUGGUGAGGUAAUGGCCCACCAAGGCGACGAUCGGUAGCCGGACUGAGAGGUUGAACGGCCACAUUGGGACUGAGACACGGCCCAGACUCCUACGGGAGGCAGCAGUGGGGAAUAUUGCACAAUGGGGGAAACCCUGAUGCAGCGACGCCGCGUGGAGGAAGAAGGUCUUCGGAUUGUAAACUCCUGUUGUUGAGGAAGAUAAUGACGGUACUCAACAAGGAAGUGACGGCUAACUACGUGCCAGCAGCCGCGGUAAAACGUAGGUCACAAGCGUUGUCCGGAAUUACUGGGUGUAAAGGGAGCGCAGGCGGGAAGACAAGUUGGAAGUGAAAUCUAUGGGCUCAACCCAUAAACUGCUUUCAAAACUGUUUUUCUUGAGUAGUGCAGAGGUAGGCGGAAUUCCCGGUGUAGCGGUGGAAUGCGUAGAUAUCGGGAGGAACACCAGUGGCGAAGGCGGCCUACUGGGCACCAACUGACGCUGAGGCUCGAAAGUGUGGGUAGCAAACAGGAUUAGAUACCCUGGUAGUCCACACCGUAAACGAUGAUUACUAGGUGUUGGAGGAUUGACCCCUUCAGUGCCGCAGUUAACACAAUAAGUAAUCCACCUGGGGAGUACGACCGCAAGGUUGAAACUCAAAGGAAUUGACGGGGGCCCGCACAAGCAGUGGAGUAUGUGGUUUAAUUCGACGCAACGCGAAGAACCUUACCAAGUCUUGACAUCCUGCGACGCACAUAGAAAUAUGUGUUUCCUUCGGGACGCAGAGACAGGUGGUGCAUGGUUGUCGUCAGCUCGUGUCGUGAGAUGUUGGGUUAAGUCCCGCAACGAGCGCAACCCUUACUGUCAGUUACUACGCAAGAGGACUCUGGCAGGACUGCCGUUGACAAAACGGAGGAAGGUGGGGAUGACGUCAAAUCAUCAUGCCCUUUAUGACUUGGGCUACACACGUACUACAAUGGCGUUAAACAAAGAGAAGCAAGACCGCGAGGUGGAGCAAAACUCAGAAACAACGUCCCAGUUCGGACUGCAGGCUGCAACUCGCCUGCACGAAGUCGGAAUUGCUAGUAAUCGUGGAUCAGCAUGCCACGGUGAAUACGUUCCCGGGCCU
rnacentral:rRNA from 1 species